rnacentral:rRNA from 1 species
GAAUCUCUUUUAGAGAUGAGUGGCGAACGGGUGAGUAAUACAUAGGUAACCUGCCCCUGUGCGGGGGAUAACAGGAGGAAACUCCUGCUAAUACCGCAUAGCCAUGAGCACCGCAUGGAGCUCAUGCCAAAUAUCCUUUAUGGGAUAGCGCAGGGAUGGACCUAUGKCGCAUUAGCUGGUUGGCGGGGCAACGGCCCACCAAGGCAACGAUGCGUAGCCGGCCUGAGAGGGCGGACGGCCACAUUGGGACUGUGACACGGCCCAGACUCCUACGGGAGGCAGCAGUAGGGAAUUUUCGGCAAUGGGGGAAACCCUGACCGAGCAACGCCGCGUGAGCGAAGAAGGCCUUCGGGUCGUAAAGCUCUGUUGUAAAGGAAGAACGGCGCAUACAGGAAAUGGUAUGCGAGUGACGGUACUUUACCAGAAAGCCACGGCUAACUACGUGCCAGCAGCCGCGGUAAUACGUAGGUGGCGAGCGUUAUCCGGAAUCAUUGGGCGUAAAGAGGGAGCAGGCGGCCGCAAGGGUCUGUGGUGAAAGACCGAAGCUAAACUUCGGUAAGCCAUGGAAACCGGGCGGCUAGAGUGCGGAAGAGGAUCGUGGAAUUCCAUGUGUAGCGGUGAAAUGCGUAGAUAUAUGGAGGAACACCAGUGGCGAAGGCGACGGUCUGGGCCGCAACUGACGCUCAUUCCCGAAAGCGUGGGGAGCAAAUAGGAUUAGAUACCCUAGUAGUCCACGCCGUAAACGAUGGUCACUAAGUGUCGGGGGUCAAACCCCGGUGCUGCAGUCAACGCAAUAAGUGACCCGCC